rnacentral:rRNA from 1 species
UACGUAGGGUGCGAGCGUUGUCCGGAAUUAUUGGGCGUAAAGAGCUUGUAGGCGGUUUGUCGCGUCUGCCGUGAAAAUCCGGGGCUCAACCCCGGACUUGCGGUGGGUACGGGCAGACUAGAGUGUGGUAGGGGGAGACUGGAAUUCCUGGUGUAGCGGUGAAAUGCGCAGAUAUCAGGAGGAACACCGGUGGCGAAGGCGGGUCUCUGGGCCGAUACUGACGCUGAGGAGCGAAAGCGUGGGGAGCGAACAGG